ACCGGAUGCGGAUCUCGAAAGCCUGUCCCAGUUCGGACUGGAGUCUGCAACCCGACUCCACGAAGUUGGAUUCGCUAGUAAUCGCGCAUCAGCCAUGGCGCGGUGAAUACGUUCCCGGGCCUUGUACACACCGCCCGUCAAGCCAUGGGGAGCCGGGGGCGCCUGAAGUCCGGGACCGCGAGGACCGGCCUAGGGCGAAACUGGUAACUGGGGCUAAGUCGUAACAAGGUACC
rnacentral:rRNA from 1 species